GAUGAACGCUAGCGGCAGGCCUAACACAUGCAAGUCGAGGGGCAGCAUAAAAUUAGCUUGCUAAUUUGGUGGCGACCGGCGCACGGGUGCGUAACGCGUAUGCAACCUACCUUAUACUGGGGGAUAGCCCGGAGAAAUUCGGAUUAAUACCCCAUAGUAUUGUUAAAUCGCAUGGUUUGAUAAUUAAAGGUUACGGUAUAAGAUGGGCAUGCGUCCUAUUAGCUAGAUGGUGAGGUAACGGCUCACCAUGGCGACGAUAGGUAGGGGGCCUGAGAGGGUGGUCCCCCACACUGGUACUGAGACACGGACCAGACUCCUACGGGAGGCAGCAGUGAGGAAUAUUGGUCAAUGGGCGCAAGCCUGAACCAGCCAUGCCGCGUGCAGGAAGAAUGCCCUAUGGGUUGUAAACUGCUUUUAUUGGAAUAAACCUCUUUACGUGUAGAGAGCUGAAGGUACCAAAUGAAUAAGCACCGGCUAACUCCGUGCCAGCAGCCG
rnacentral:rRNA from 1 species